UUUUGCAUUAACUUUCUUUACUAACUCGUUAGCAGCAAAGAAAAAAAAUGUUAAAAGAAAGAACCAAUCAGAGUGAGUCAGAGAGUAUAUAAGUCCAAGCAUAGCCAAUCGUUUCCUCUUGACUAAUGCGACAUCACAAAUUCAUAGUAUGACAAACGUGUCCGAACCAACUUAAUCCAACAUGGAAAAACCAGUAAGGAAUACAGUCUUCUCCAUCAAACAUAAGACUUGUU